GUAGGUGGCAAGCGUUGUCCGGAAUUAUUGGGCGUAAAGCGCGCGCAGGCGGUCCUUUAAGUCUGAUGUGAAAGCCCACGGCUCAACCGUGGAGGGUCAUUGGAAACUGGGGGACUUGAGUACAGAAGAGGAAAGCGGAAUUCCAAGUGUAGCGGUGAAAUGCGUAGAGAUUUGGAGGAACACCAGUGGCGAAGGCGGCUUUCUGGUCUGUAACUGACGCUGAGGCGCGAAAGCGUGGGGAGCAAACAGGGAUUAGAUACCCUGGUAGUCCACGCCGUAAACGAUGAGUGCUAAGUGUUAGGGGGUUUCCCGCCCCUUAGUGCUGCAGCUAACGCAUUAAGCACUCCGCCUGGGGAGUACGCCGCAAGGCUA
rnacentral:rRNA from 1 species